UCCCUGGUGGUCCAGUGGUUAGGACUCUGCCCUUUUACUGCUGAGGCCCCUGGUUCAAUCCCUGGUCAGGGAA